UUGGUUUUGGCGUGCGACCGUUCGCCGCGAACAGUUGUAGUGUAUCCUUCGAAGGGGUGAAAAGUUGUUUUCACACACUUUGGCACCGUACAAGCGAAGCGGCCUGUCGUUUUUUGAAUUUGAAUUUUUUAACAACAAUUGCCGUCGUCGUACACAGUCCUCAUUCAUCGCUCUCUCUCACACACACACUCUCUCUCUAUAUAUACAUCUCGGUCAAAAUAAUAUUAAAAAAAACAAAAACAAAACACUCGUUUACUAUUUUUAUAAACAAAAAAGCAAAUCAAGAAAAGUUCAAAUAUUAUUACAAAAACAAAAAACAGCGCAAAAAGAUCGUUUCUUGCAACAAUUUUGUGAGCGUUUUGUGUUCAAAGUUCCAAGCUAAAGAAAUUCUUGUGUAGUGUGUUAAUUACUCAAAGAAAUUGAUGAAAAAUAAAUAUAAACAAAUAAAUAAUUUAACUGUUGACAUAUAGUGUUUGAAAAAAAAAAACCAAAAACAACAAUAAGUGAAUAAAAAAUUGUGCAACUCCAAGUGAAAGUGCAUUUUGUUUUCGCGUUGUGUGUUUUGAAAAAUUCAAACACAAAAACUGCAAAUGUUCGUCGCUUUAUGAAAAUCGUUAUACAAAACCGUAUCGAGUUUACAACACGAAGGAUAACACGCCACAGUAAACAAAAGUGCAAAGCAGCAAAUAGACUGCCAAAAAGUCUUCAAUUUAUUUGUAUCGUAUUCGAAAAAUAUAUAUUUUUAUAGUUGGAAAACGCAUAAAAAGUGUAUAAGCAGUUCUCGAGCCAAGUGCAAAAUCUUUUCCCCCCAUCCCAUACCUUUUUUUGAAAUUUUCGUUAUUGUGUAUUUCGGUUUCCCAACUCAAUAAUUAAUUCCCUAUAAGAAAAAAAAAUAAAAACAAAAAGUUCAGUGUUUAAAACCAUAUACAAUCGUUUGGAUACAGAAAGUUUUAAAGAUCUACCAGUGAACAACAAUUGAAUUGAAAAAGAUAUAAUAACGCCCAGUCACAAAACAAAGUAUAGCAAAAGUCCAGUAAUAUAAUUUCGAGAAAAUAAUCAAAAGCAACCAAAUCUCAAUUUAGUCCUACGCAUUAAGUUUAUUUAUUUAUAAUUACAAAAACAAAAACUGAAAAUAACAAAUAAAUAAAUGAAAAAAUAAAUAAAAUAAACCAAAAAACACAAAAUAAAAUAAAUAAUAAAUACAACAACAAAGUAAACAAUUUUUACACGCAUAAGUGGAAAUUUUUGAAAUUUUCAACAAAUCUUAAAUUGUUAAAACCAAAAUAGAUCUAAGCAUAAUUUAGCAUAACGUAUUGAAAGCAAUUAAGCAAAGCAAACAAACCAGUGGAAGACAAAUUUAUUUUUUAAUUUAAAUAAAAUAAAUUUUAAGUAAAUUACAACAAAUACAUAUAGCCAAUAACAACAAAAACAACUAUAAAAUUAAAAAAUAAC